CCUACGGGAGGCAGCAGUGAGGAAUAUUGGACAAUGGGCGCAAGCCUGAUCCAGCCAUGUCGCGUGCAGGAAGACGGUCCUAUGGAUUGUAAACUGCUACUGUACAGGAAGUAACACUCGGACGUGUCCGAGCUUGACGGUACUGUAAGCAUAAGGAUCGGCUAACUCCGUGCCAGCAGUCGCGGUAAUACGGAGGAUCCAAGCGUUAUCCGGAAUCAUUGGGUUUAAAGGGUCCGUAGGCGGCUUAAUAAGUCAGUGGUGAAAUCUGGUCGCUCAACGAUCAAACGGCCAUUGAUACUGUUAAACUUGAAUUAUAAGGAAGUAACUAGAAUAUGUAGUGUAGCGGUGCAAUGCUUAGAUAUUACAUGGAAUACCAAUUGCGAAGGCAGGUUACUACUUAUGGAUUGACGCUGAUGGACGGAAGCGUAGGGAGCGAACAGGAUUAGAUACCCUGGUAGUCCACGCCGUGAACGAUGGAUACUAGCUGUUGGGAGCAAUCUCAGUGGCGAAGCGA
rnacentral:rRNA from 1 species